UACGGGGGGGGGCAAGCGUUGUUCGGAAUUACUGGGCGUAAAGGGCGCGUAGGCGGCUCACUAAGUCGGAUGUGAAAACUCUGGGCUCAACCCAGAGCCUGCAUCCGAAACUAUUGGGCUAGAGUUCUGGAGGGGAAAGCGGAAUUCCUGGUGUAGCGGUGAAAUGCGUAGAUAUCAGGAGGAACACCGGUGGCGAAGGCGGCUUUCUGGACAGAAACUGACGCUGAGGCGCGAAAGCUAGGGGAGCAAACAGG
rnacentral:rRNA from 1 species